rnacentral:rRNA from 1 species
GACGAACGCUGGCGGCGUGCUUAACACAUGCAAGUCGACAUGAGCGGCGAACGGGUGAGUAAUACGUGGGUACCCUGCCCUCCUUUUUGGGAUAAGCCUUGGAAACGGGGCCUAAUACCGCAUAAAGGGGGAUGGGCUCGCGGCCUAUCAGCUUGUUGGUGGGGUGAUGGCCUACCAAGGCGGUGACGGGUAGCCGGCCUGAGAGGGUGACCAGCCAGGUUGGGUCUGAGAUACGGCCCAGAUUCCUACGGGAGGCAGCAGUGGGUGAUAUUGCACAAUGGGCGAAAGCCUGAUGCAGCGACGCCGCGUGGGGGAUGAAGUCUUUCGUGUUGUAAGCCUCUUUCGGAAUCGAACAGGUAGGUGGAGAGGAAGCGCCUGCGAACUACGUGCCAGCAGCCGCGGUAAUUC